rnacentral:rRNA from 1 species
GAUGAACGCUGGCGGCGUGCCUAAUACAUGCAAGUCGAGCGAACAGACGAGGAGCUUGCUCCUCUGACGUUAGCGGCGGACGGGUGAGUAACACGUGGAUAACCUACCUAUAAGACUGGGAUAACUUCGGGAAACCGGAGCUAAUACCGGAUAAUAUAUUGAACCGCAUGGUUCAAUAGUGAAAGACGGUUUUGCUGUCACUUAUAGAUGGAUCCGCGCCGCAUUAGCUAGUUGGUAAGGUAACGGCUUACCAAGGCAACGAUGCGUAGCCGACCUGAGAGGGUGAUCGGCCACACUGGAACUGAGACACGGUCCAGACUCCUACGGGAGGCAGCAGUAGGGAAUCUUCCGCAAAGGGCGAAAGCCUGACGGAGCAACGCCGCGUGAGUGAUGAAGGUCUUCGGAUCGUAAAACUCUGUUAUUAGGGAAGAACAACUGUGUAAGUAACUAUGCACGUCUUGACGGUACCUAAUCAGGAAGCCACGGCUAACUACGUG